AAUGAUAUACACACACAUAUAUCUGAAAAAUAUGCAGCGGUGAUUUUGAUGGAAAUGUGCCGGUUACUUCAACAAAGUAUUCCAUGGAGAAGUUAAAUCUCACUCUUAAGACGAAGUGGCGCCCUUGGUUCGUCAAUGGAGAGGUAUGAGGAUACACACAAGAGUACAAGGGAAGCUUGACAUUUGCAACAGUGAGAGGAGCAGGGCAUGAAGUGCCAAGCUACCAGCCAGGAAGAGCCCUUUCGUUGGUCAAUCACUUCUUAAAAGGCAUCCCUCUUCCUAAUUCCAUUACCUCAAUACUACAUUAUGCCUAAUUCCUAUAUUUAGUUUUUACCCAUUUUGAUUAAGUUCUUUUUUUGGGUGAUUUAUGUUAUCUUCAAGCAAUGUAAUUUCAGUUAUCAAUCAUUAUAAUAAAGUUGUGGUUGGAACUGC